rnacentral:rRNA from 1 species
CCUACGGGGGGCAGCAGUGAGGAAUAUUGGUCAAUGGGCGCGAGCCUGAACCAGCCAAGUAGCGUGAAGGAUGACUGCCCUACGGGUUGUAAACCUCUUUUAUAAAGGAAUAAAGUGCGGCACGUGUGCCUUUCUGUAUGUACCUUAUGAAUAAGGAUCGGCUAACUCCGUGCCAGCAGCCGCGGUAAUACGGAGGAUUCGAGCGUUAUCCGGAUUUAUUGGGUGUAAAGGGAGCGUAGAUGGGUUGUUAAGUCAGGUGUGAAAGUUGGCGGCUCAACCGGAACAUUGCACUUGAUACUGGCAGUCUUGAGUACAGUAGAGGUAGGCGGAAUUCGUGGUGUAGCGGUGAAAUGCAUAGAUAUCACGAAGAACUCCGAUUGCGAAGGCAGCUUACUAGACUGCCACUGACGUUGAGGCUCGAAAGUGUGGGUAUCAAACAGGAUUAGAUACCCUUGUAGUC